AUUGAACGCUGGCGGCAUGCCUUACACAUGCAAGUCGAACGGCAGCGGGGGAGAAGCUUGCUUUUCCUGCCGGCGAGUGGCGAACGGGUGAGUAAUACAUCGGAACGUGCCCUGUAGUGGGGGAUAACUAGUCGAAAGAUUAGCUAAUACCGCAUACGACCUGAGGGUGAAAGGGGGGGACCGCAAGGCCUCAUGCUAUAGGAGCGGCCGAUGUCUGAUUAGCUAGUUGGUGGGGUAAAGGCCUACCAAGGAGACGAUCAGUAGCUGGUCUGAUAGGACGAUCAGCCACACUGGGACUGAGACACGGCCCAGACUCCUACGGGAGGCAGCAGGGGGGAAUUUUGGACAAUGGGCGAAAGCCUGAUCCAGCAAUGCCGCGUGUGUGAAGAAGGCCUUCGGGUUGUAAAGCACUUUUGUCCGGAAAGAAAUGGCUCUGGUUAAUACCUGGGGUCGAUGACGGUACCGGAAGAAUAAGGACCGGCUAACUACGUGCCAGCAGCCGCGGUAA
rnacentral:rRNA from 1 species